rnacentral:rRNA from 1 species
ACUAAGCGUACACGGUGGAUGCCCUGGCAGUCAGAGGCGAUGAAGGACGUGCUAAUCUGCGAUAAGCGUCGGUAAGGUGAUAUGAACCGUUAUAACCGGCGAUUUCCGAAUGGGGAAACCCAGUGUGUUUCGACACACUAUCAUUAACUGAAUCCAUAGGUUAAUGAGGCGAACCGGGGGAACUGAAACAUCUAAGUACCCCGAGGAAAAGAAAUCAACCGAGAUUCCCCCAGUAGCGGCGAGCGAACGGGGAGCAGCCCAGAGCCUGAAUCAGUGUGUGUGUUAGUGGAAGCGUCUGGAAAGGCGCGCGAUACAGGGUGACAGCCCCGUACACAAAAAUGCACAUGCUGUGAGCUCGAUGAGUAGGGCGGGACACGUGGUA